rnacentral:lncRNA from 1 species
GUUUGGUGGUCGGCAGAUAGUUUUUGUCAAUUUAGGGUGGACAAUUGAUACACCCUCAAAGUAUUGUAGUAUUUUUGAUAACAGAGCAUCUAUAGGGUAUACAAAUGAUAAUAUCCCAAAAUUAAACUUUGUAUUUAUAAUGUACUACAACUUUAAUGUAAAAUGUAAUAAAAAAUAUAAAGACAUUUUUGAGUAGUCAAUUUUAGCUUUCUUUUACAAAAUAGUAUUAUAAAAGACAAUUGGUAAAAUGUAAUAAAAAUGACACGAGAAAAGGUUAGUAGAGGUGAUUUUUCUUGUAGUUAUUAAAACAUAUGAAGUAAUUGACACACACACAUAUUCAAUACUUCUAUUUACCCCUAUUUAUUAAUAAGUGGGAAAUUAAAGUCGUAAUUAUCAUAAUGUAUUAUUAAUUGAUAUGUAAAAUAUAAAUACUAAUAGAAGCUAAUUUGUAGACAAAUAAAGUAAACCAUAUUUUAUGGGCACGUGAUACAUUAAUCUAAGGUCAAAUGAGAUAUAUCACAUGAUAUUUCAAACUGUAGUCCAAUUUUCAACAUUUGCAUAUGGUUUUAUAAGCUCGUAAACCAAUAAAAUAUACCAUGAGAAAUCAAAGGCUAUUGUAUAUAUUGCACCAUUGGAUAUAUAUAAAUAUAUAUACACACACACACACACAUAUAACUUCCGUUAAUCUUCCAUGGCCAUGCAUUAGAAUAAAAUAAUCUAACCGCACAUACUAUAUCCGAUUGAUAGAUUUUGAAAUUAGUUUGAUUACAUGGUAAUAGAAUUAUCUUAUAACAUUCAGGAUAUGAAUUAAGUACUAUUUUAUCAAUUUUGAGUAUCGUAUUGAGUUUCAAAUUAAUUAAAUGUUGAAACUCUUUCAUGUUUGGCCGGACAUUAUUACUUAAUAAAAUUACGAAAAGCCAAUAACGAAUUGUGUAGGAUACAUAGUAAAAUAAACUUUAAAAUGUAAUUAAGUAUUCACAUGAAUUUUGUGUAAUUAAACAAAAUAUGUUAUUUUAGUGAAAUUGUUAGAAUAUUUAAAAUUGUAGGGGUGGUCUAAAAUUUCUCGGACUUGAGCAAACUACACGAUCCCACACGGUUUAUUUUGACAAAUACAACUUGUUAACCACUCUGACUGUUGGUAGAAUAAGUUCCUAUCAGCAAAACACAAUUCAAACUCAUAUUUGCAAGCAGCAAACAAUAUCUUAUCAAGGAUCAAAUUUGAGUGGAGUUUUUGGUCAAUCAAUCUGAAUAAAUUUGAGUAGAGUUUUUUGUCAAUUAAUCAAGUUUUUGGGUUUUCAAAAAAUUUAUGUUCAAGGUAAAUCUGGGAGCUAUCAUUACAAGAAAGCAAUGGAUAUUGAUCAACAAGGUUAGUAGUGUAUAUAUUCUUUGUAAUUUGAUAUUUAGAACUGUUAUGAUUAUUUUCUUGUUGAGUAAAGAGAUGGUUAUGUGGAGAUUUUAGCUAUGUAACCAUGUAAUGACCAAUGCUUUAAAAUUAAACACUUGUUCGAUAAUUUAUCAAAACAAAAAAAAAUAAAAAAAACAUGUAGAUAUAUAAGAAAAAUGAGCAUGUAAUGUCUGGCAGUCGUGCUUAUAGGAGAAAGAGGCUGAAACAAAGAACUAAUACAUUUUUUAAGUUUGUUGCUUCAGUGAUUCUGAGCAGUCAACAUUCUUUAAGCCAUAUCUUCAUGUAGAAAACUUCAAAUAGAAAACCGUAAAAUUAUUUGAACUCAUGAGGAAUAAAUAUUUCUAGACAUGUAUAGUUUGUAAUUUUAUUCCUUAUUAAUUGAUAUCAGUUAAUGCAGAAACUUCGGGUCUUGUGUAGUUUCAAGAUAGUUAAUUAUGACCUUUGUGCACUAAAUCGUGAAUAUCUUUAAGAAGAGAAGUCCAAAUUUGAUUUUGUAAAUUUCUUCCAUAACGAGACACAUUUAUCUAUCAAAGAAUUUAUAUUAUGCAAUCUCAUAUAUUAUAGAUCAAUACAGUUAAAUUAUGAAAUAUGGCUUAUAAUCAUAGACUUGGUUGCUUCAAUGAUUUUGAGCAGUCAGCAUUCUUUAAGCCAUAUCUUCAUGUAGAAAACUUUAAAUAGAUAACCGUAAAAUUUUGAACUCCUGAGGAAUAAUAUUUCUAGAAAUAAAUAGUUUGUAAUUUUAUUCCUUGUUAAUUGAUAUCAGUUAAUUCAGAAACUUCGGGUCUUGUGUAGUUUCAAGGCAGUUGUGGAAGAUUUGGUUCUCUUUCAGUUUCCUAUAUGCAAAUAAGUUUUUCAAUGAUAAA